CCGCGAGCCCAUAGUACGAUGCAUUAGCCGCAGCGCUGCCGGCCGCCGUUGAAGCCACGUGGGUGCCAUGUCCAGCUUCGUCCCGAGUUGGAGGAGGUGAAAUCAUUGCCUACCAUGCAGGUCCCUUUCCACCUCAACGGUGUUAGAGCUCAUUAUUCCGGCGAGCUAUUAGAGCCACUUGUUAUGCAGCAGAGAAUGUUUGAUAUAUGCAUAUUUAUUUAC